rnacentral:rRNA from 1 species
CCUACGGGAGGCAGCAGUGAGGAAUAUUGGUCAAUGGACGAGAGUCUGAACCAGCCAAGUAGCGUGAAGGAUGACUGCCCUAUGGGUUGUAAACUUCUUAUAUAUGGGAAUAAAAUGUUCCACGUGUGGGAUUUUGUAUGUACCAUAUGAAUAAGGAUCGGCUAACUCCGUGCCAGCAGCCGCGGUAAUACGGAGGAUCCGAGCGUUAUCCGGAUUUAUUGGGUUUAAAGGGAGCGUAGGUGGAUUGUUAAGUCAGUUGUGAAAGUUUGCGGCUCAACCGUAAAAUUGCAGUUGAAACUGGCAGUCUUGAGUACAGUAGAGGUGGGCGGAAUUCGUGGUGUAGCGGUGAAAUGCUUAGAUAUCACGAAGAACUCCGAUUGCGAAGGCAGUUCACUGGACUGCAACUGACACUGAGGCUCGAAAGUGUGGGUAUCAAACAGGAUUAGAUACCCGUGUAGUC